rnacentral:lncRNA from 1 species
UAAAUGAGGAAAAGUCACAAAAUAUUCUUUUGUUUAUGUAACACACAAGUAACUGCUUAAUUGGAAGCUUGUACAAUAAUUCAAUUAAUUGGUGAUUAUUAGUAAAUGCAAUUUGCACUUGGAUUUAAAAGACACAUUUGAAUUUCAUGAAACUUUGAACUACAGUAACCUAGAAAGUUAAGUGUUUUGAACUUAAAAAAAAGAUGAAGUCUGGUCUCAGACACUUUAGCUUGCUACAUGACCAUAAGUAAUCACAAACCUACCAUGAAACAUCAUCUUUAAGCCCAACUGCCUCACCAUAAAAUGGGGAUAGCAGCACUGCCCAUCUGCUAGGUUGUCAUGAGGAUUAAAUGAGAUAAUAUGUGUUAAAUAUGUUCUCUGCGCCUGGUUCGAAGUGAACUCCUUGAAAGCAUCAGCUAUCAUUCCAAUGUAGAAUAAGCAAAAAAACAAAAUUCAAUGUAUUUCACAGGCCAUGUCCUGAACAAAGUUUUGUCAAGCAUAAAAAAUGAACUUGCUUAACAUCUUUCCUAUUUGAAUAUCCCAUAAAUAACCAUCAAGUUCUUUUAUUCUGUUUGUGCUUCAUCUGGGCCCUUUGAUUAGUUCUUCCUGCAGCCACUUCACUUUUGACUUUGACUCAGGUUCUCUUCUGGUCUUACAUGUAUCCUUCACCUAAUUCUAU